rnacentral:rRNA from 1 species
UACGGGGGGAGCAAGCGUUGUUCGGAUUUACUGGGCGUAAAGGGCGCGUAGGCGGCCUCUGCAAGUCGACUGUGAAAUCUCCGGGCUUAACCCGGAACGGUCAGCCGAUACUGCAGGGCUAGAGUGCAGAAGGGGCAACUGGAAUUCUCGGUGUAGCGGUGAAAUGCGUAGAUAUCGAGAGGAACACCUGCGGCGAAGGCGGGUUGCUGGGCUGUUGCUGACGCUGAGGCGCGACAGCGUGGGGAGCAAACAGG